GCAUUGGAAAAGUUUCCCUGCAAUAUGUCCUCUCAGUGGCUGAGAGGAAGCUUUGUCAUAUUCUCUGCGGGAAAGAGCUGUAUGGAAGCAUUCUCCUGGGCCUCUACAGUGAAAUCUGUCAACAUUGGCAGCCCUGGACUUCCAUAAGCUGUGACUAUGAGCUGUGAGAGGGGAUAGACUUAUCUACUGAUGGUGAAAAUUUGCCCUGGUGGGUGUCACUGCUCAGGCCCUCUCAGUCACCGGCUGUUCGCCAUCGCUGCUCAUUAAAAGGCUGAGUGCUCCAAAAACUCAGCUAGUCGGACUGUCUGUUUCAUUCAGUCUAUUAACAUUGUCCUUCAUGUGCUGAAAGCUCUUUUUGCUUCCAUUAUAUUAUAUCCACAUGGUGAAGAUCAAAGGAUUGGACAUGUUGUAUUUGUACCACUAUUUUGAUCUGUAAUCCAACACAUUAAAGAUUUGUGGCUUCUACAAAACCACACAGUCCUUCCCAGAUACUAACGCUGCAUUAUUAAAAUUACAUCAUUGCUGUUAUUUCAAUUUUCAGUUCAAUAGGUUUCAUGCCCUCUAAACCUCAGUUUCA